UAGUAAGGAAAUUCUUCAAAACGAUUCAGUUUACUAGUGACAGUGGCGUAGAUUCUUUGUUCUUUUCAGUUACUCUUUAAUUUUUCAUAAAUAAUUUUUGUAGUAGCGUGCUACAGUGUGUAUUAAAUUUUAAAUACUUAUAUUACUCUUCAAGCCAUGUUGUUCUACUCGUUUCGUCCAUAGAGGUUUCGUCACGAGCAGCAGCCAUGUUUUAUAUUACGAAAUUCCUAAAUCCGUCACCUUUGACGUCUAUUGGUGUCAACCGAUAAUGAGGAUAGUUCUAGUGUUGAAAACGUUUUUGACAAGAAAAGUGAAGAGAAAAAUGAAUCAGGUGUUCGUGGUGUCCUGAGAUGAGUUCAUCUUCAACCAAAGUCAAAAAUUUUGUUUAUGAUUUAUGUAUGGAUGUAUAAAUAGAUAUAACAUGUAUAAAAUGCAUAAACAUGUUCCUAUCUCAAUAAAUUUAAUAAAAUAAGUA